GGGUCUGUAGCUCAGUUGGUUAGAGCAGAGGACUCAUAAUCCUUUGGUCCACGGUUCAAGUCCGUGCAGACCCA
rnacentral:tRNA from 2 species